AGGGAAAAUGAGCAAUGACUUGCCUAUAGAGGUGGAGGUGCCAAACUUGGAAGAUGCAAUAAUGACGCAAGCUAAUUCCCAACAUCAGCCUUCAAAUCCCAGUAUGACAAGUGAGAGUGCUACUAAUCCUCCUACUCAAUCAAAUGAAAAAGUUAGGAAGAGAAUGAGACCAAGAUCUGAAGUGUGGGAUCACUUCACUAAAUUUGUGACGGAGUCUGGUGAAAUUAAGGAGUUGUCAAAGGUUGCAUUGGAGUCCACAAUUGGUGAAUAAGACAAACAAAGAAAGACAAAGGACUUACAGGUGAAAUAAGCAGAGAAAUUGUGCUUUGUAUUUUGCAAUGUAAGAAGCUGAAAAGUGGGAGUUUCUAAUACAAGAAGCCAUGAAAUUGUAGCUGUCACUUGUCAGCUGAUGUAUGAAGCAUUGAAGUCCUAGUUUUUUAUUUUAAUUUUUUAGAAACAAUUUAUAUUUUAUGUUUGUUUUUUAUUUUUAUUUUGCACAAACUAUUUACAUUGGUCUGUAAUAUAAUAUUACGAACUUUGUACUCUUGAACUCAAAUCCAAGUAGAUACUG